rnacentral:rRNA from 1 species
GAUGAACGCUGGCGGCGUGCCUAAUACAUGCAAGUCGAGCGGACCAAAGAGACCUUGCUCUCUGAGGUUAGCGGCGGACGGGUGAGUAACACGUGGGUAACCUGCCUGUAAGACGGGGAUAACUUCGGGGAACCGAAGCUAAUACCGGAUGAUAAAGAGAAACGCCUGUUUCUUUUUUGAAAGUCGGCCUUGUGCUGACGCUUACAGAUGGGCCCGCGGCGCAUUAGCUAGUUGGUGAGGUAACGGCUCACCAAGGCGACGAUGCGUAGCCGACCUGAGAGGGUGAUCGGCCACACUGGGACUGAGACACGGCCCAGACUCCUACGGGAGGCAGCAGUAGGGAAUCUUCGGCAAUGGACGAAAGUCUGACCGAGCAACGCCGCGUGAGCGAUGAAGGCCUUCGGGUCGUAAAGCUCUGUUGUCAGAGAAGAACAAGUACCGGAGUAACUGCCGGUACCUUGACGGUACCUGACCAGAAAGCCACGGCUAACUACGUGCCAGCCGCCGCCGUAA